AGUUGGGUCAGAUUCGUAUAAACAAGCCGAACAUGAACUAACUCAUUAAAGAAUUGAGCUUCUUUUUUUUUUUUUUUUUUUUUUUUUUUUUUUUUUUUUUUUUGAGAACGAGGUAGCUAGCUACCUGCUUCAUUCAUUAGGCAAAAUGAACUAAGCGUACAUAAGUGGAAACAUCUUGGGCCUCCGAAAAAAGGAAAGAGAAAAGAAAUAAAAAUGCGAAAAAGGUAAAGUAACGUAAAGCAAAGUAAAGUGGUCAAGAGUAAGUAAGAUGAGGGGAAGCGAGGAGAAUCAGAGAGACUCGGUCCAGGCUUUCGACAAGGUGGUGACGCGAUCAAGGGCUCGUGUAGCGUUAGGAAGGUGUCCGCGAAAAACCGUGUUGUUACGUUCUGUCCAGAUAACCCACCAGGUUGCCGCCAACGAGUUUAGGCUUUUCAAUCUCUUCACUUUAUCAGCGAUAUUGGAUGUGAUUGUCCAAAUUGAGUUAAAAUAUUUGGCUCGUAUUCGGAUCAUUUAUUAACGUGUUGAACACGAGAUGAACAUGAAUUGGAUCAUAAACAAUAAAUUAAAAGAAUUAGAAAGUAUUUAUAUAAAAAAUAAAUUUAUAAACUUUUAGCUAUUAGAUUUUGAUCUAAUAUUUAAAUUUUUACAUAUAAAUGGAUCUUUUUAUAAUUAAUGGGCUUUGUAUUUAGAUUGAGCUAAAAAUUAAAUAGUAAAAAUUUGUAUUAUAUAUAUAAUUAUUUAUUUAUAUUAUAUAAAUAUAAAAUAUAUGUAUUCAAGCUAUUAUCAAGUUGAACACGAGCAAAAUGACCCCAGCUCGUAUUGAAAAAUUCAGUUCAUGUUCGACUUGUUUACUAAUCGAGUGAUUCGAUCUCGGGCUCACUUCGAACCGAACACGAGCCGACUUGCAAACAGCGGGCUAGAUUGCCACCCCUAGUGCCUAUUUGUUUGGGUGAAAGUGGAGAGGAGUGAAGUCACUUUCGAUCAUAAACGAUCACUUUCUCUAUUUGUUUCGCCGUAAUAAAAAUACAAUCGAAACUCGAGUUAUCUGAAACAACAUAAUUAACUUCGUUCCGCCCUGGGCCGAAGUCAAUUACGAUAAAAAAAAGGUGAAAAAAAUAAUAAAAUAAUACAAUAAGUAAUAUUAGUUAUAUUUAAAAUAUUUAAUUAUGUCACUAAUUACUCUUUUUAUUUAGUUUGCAUAUUUAAAAUAUGAUAAAAUUUGAUUAGUUAAGUUUUAGUAUAGUUUGACAUUUCAAAUAUAAUGAAAAUUGAUUAAAUAUUUAUAUAAUUUUUUUACUUCAAAAUUUUAUUGUUGUAUUAUUAUAAUUUAUGUAUAAACAAAUAAAAGUUGUUUAUUAAAUUUUUUAAUUAUAUAGAAAUAUAAUUAUAUUAUUUUUAUUUAUUAUUUAUUAAGUUAUUUAUUAUUUAUAUAUAAAUUAUAACUUUACAUUAUUAAAUUUCUAUAAAACAAACUGUAGAAUUGAAGAAAUUUUAUUUUCAUAACUAUAAAAUAAAUAGAAAGAAAAAAAAAAUUGUUAUCGAGUUUAAUUUCAAUCUAAAAUUUAUUUUAAUUCAAAGUUUAAUUUUGGUAAAACAA
rnacentral:lncRNA from 1 species